GCAAGUCGAACGGUGAAGGUGGAGCUUGCUCUGCUGGAUCAGUGGCGAACGGGUGAGUAACACGUGAGCAAUCUGCCCCUGACUCUGGGAUAAGCGCUGGAAACGGCGUCUAAUACUGGAUACGAACCACGGAGGCAUCUUCGGUGGUUGGAAAGAUUUUUCGGUCUGGGAUGAGCUCGCGGCCUAUCAGCUUGUUGGUGAGGUAAUGGCUCACCAAGGCGUCGACGGGUAGCCGGCCUGAGAGGGUGACCGGCCACACUGGGACUGAGACACGGCCCAGACUCCUACGGGAGGCAGCAGUGGGGAAUAUUGCACAAUGGGCGCAAGCCUGAUGCAGCAACGCCGCGUGAGGGAUGACGGCCUUCGGGUUGUAAACCUCUUUUAGCAGGGAAGAAGCGAAAGUGACGGUACCUGCAGAAAAAGCGCCGGCUAACUACGUGCCAGCAGCCGCGGUAAUACGUAGGGCGCAAGCGUUAUCCGGAAUUAUUGGGCGUAAAGAGCUCGUAGGCGGUUUGUCGCGUCUGCUGUGAAAUCCCGAGGCUCAACCUCGGGCCUGCAGUGGGUACGGGCAGACUAGAGUGCGGUAGGGGAGAUUGGAAUUCCUGGUGUAGCGGUGGAAUGCGCAGAUAUCAGGAGGAACACCGAUGGCGAAGGCAGAUCUCUGGGCCGUAACUGACGCUGAGGAGCGAAAGGGUGGGGAGCAAACAGGCUUAGAUACCCUGGUAGUCCACCCCGUAAACGUUGGGAACUAGUUGUGGGGUCCAUUCCACGGGAUUCCGUGACGCAGCUAACGCAUUAAGUUCCCCGCCUGGGGAGUACGGCCGC
rnacentral:rRNA from 1 species